CCUGCGCCCCACCCCACCGGGGCGCGCGACCGCGGCGCGUGGAGCCCAGAUCCCUCCGCCUACGGGACAGAGCGUGGCCUCGGGACCUCAGCACCCCGGCCCAGAGUUGGCAGAGGUCUAAGUAGAUAAGUUUUGGGGAGACGAGAGUGUUGGGAGGCCCCAGCUCCUCCACUUACUGUGUGACAAAGCUCCGAAGGCAGAUCGCGUUCUCUCCUCGGGGUUACCUGGGGAGCUCCGCUGCUCCCUCUACCUGUGACAGGUCCCCUCCUUUCCCCUGGCCCGGCUCGGUUGACGCCCAGACAUUUAAAGCAACAGUGCAUAAUUCUCUGGUGACCUAAUGUUCAGUGCCUGCGGCCCCAGCGCUCUUAACUAUCAAGGGGGCAAUUUAAAGGGGCGGGACCCCAACAACCACCACCUCACAGGAAACAUCAGAAGCCUCAUCGUAGAGAAGAAACAGUAACUCUCUUUAAAAGAAAAAAACCUUUUAAAAUCCCUGGUGGCCUCUGGGCGUGGCGAAUUUUUAAAUGCUCACAAGAUUGUGCAUACCAUUGCUUCUCAACACGGACCCAUCAGACUUCCUGUCCAGCAUCCUGUCACUUCCAAGUCCUCCGCUGGCUCUACCUGGAGCUCGAACUUCAAAACCAAGCCUUGCAGUAGAGAAGCACAAGGCUCUUUACAAGCUUAGAGUCUGGUUUUCUGGACAAAGUCCCUGUUCUGGGUAUUUGGGACUGGGAGAGGCAACAAGUGGUGGGUUAGAAGCAUCAACUCGGAGUCAGACUGUCUAAUUCAAAUCCUUUCAUUGUUUAUGAAGAGCAGAGCACAUUUCUUAACUCUCCAUCCUCUUGGUUAAGAUGAAGGCGGUGAGGAUAGUACCUAACUUGUGAAUCUGGUGUGAGUUUAGUUCCCAGGAGACUAGCACAAUGCCUCAUGUUGCAUUGUAAUGACCCAUGGGCCGCUCAAAUGAAAAGAAAAAAGAAAGAAAAACCUUUUAGGCCAGGGUGAGUUCAGACAAGGCUCAAGGGGGACAAGUUCAAUAGGACCGUUCUGCAGAGAGCUUGGAGACUUGUAUGUACCUCCUUAAACAGGAAGCUAGCAGGCUUCUAUUCCGUUGUCCUCCCCUUUCAAUCCUUCUACUUGGCCCCUCCUUCCAGAAGCCCUAUUUAUACAGUAUCACAUAUGGUCCCCAAAUGUUGCUCUUUAGUUUCCCUAGUAGUAUGGGGGUGGGGGCUCCCAGCACAGAGAUGCCAGUACUCCUGAGCAGGCUGGUUUGCCCCAACACUUCAGGGAGGGCAUCUGUCCUUCCCCAAGCACUUGGAGAAUACAGCCUUGUUCGGGCGUGAAGCUGUGGUGGGAGCGGGAUGAGAAGGUGCCCUCCCAGUGGGGAGCCUCCCCUCACUCAGGCCUCUAUUUUUAGUGCUUCCCCAGGCUCUAGCAGGAGAAAUCCUUUAGUCAUCAGGGUGUUUAUUUUCCGGCUGCUUCCGACGUCGGGAAAAGCAGAAUGUUGAGACUGGAGAGAUCCAGGGCUGCCGUAAAAGACUUCUCAGGAACGGGCCUGAGAACACAGCCUUCAGACCAUUGGGUCCCAGCUCACAGGAAAACAAAACAGGAUGGGCCCAGGACAGCUAAGCCCUCAGGAGUUUCCAACCUGCCUUAACCUUGGAGGCUAUCCAAGCUAGAGAGCCCUCUGGCCCAGCUCUAUUUGAAGACUGUUUUUCAAAACAACAACUAAGUCCAGAAGAAAUUCUUUCCCAGAAUCCCCCUUCCCACCCUCUCGUAGGUCUGCCUGGAGAGCCUCCCGCCAACCACAACCCUAGCCAAUCUCAAACCUGAGGCGGGCCUUCCAGAGCUAGGAUUGGUUGGCUGGGCCUUCUAGACCUGGAAUGUUGAGUCUUUAACAAAGGAAUGAGGAAGGAAGGUGAGUCACCUGGGGAAGACUUUAAAGGACUAGCUAGGAGGAAAAGGAAGGGGGAAGCGCUCCAGGGAGGUGGGGGCCCUGGACGCUGACGGCUGACUGGACAGGUCACACGAGACCUGAGUAGGGGGCAGUAACACAAGAGGGACAACAUUCAGAGUCUGAAAACGUCUUGGAAGAGAAGAGAAAAGGUAACAGUCGUGAGGUCUUGAUUUCCACAGAGGACCGAAAAGGGCCAAGGUUCCCAUCUCUCUCAACACCCCUCUUCCACCUGGCAGUCCUUCCUCAACCUAGGAAAAGUGCUCUUGCCGUCCCUUCUAGUCUGAUGAGCUGCCUGCCAGGCCCUCCUCUCACCUUCCUUCCCCUGCGCCAUCUGGACAGUUCUCAAUCCCACCUCCACACCCAGCUCAGCCACCGAACUCAUCCUUCUUCCUCCAGUUUUUAAGUGAUUCCAGCAAAGAGCCCCCUACCCAACCUCUCCCCGCAUCUGCCACCGAGCUUGCGAACCGGACCCUCAGCAGGUGGGCGUAUAUAUUCUCUGCGCGAAGGUGGGACUCUGCACUCUGUCCCUGUCUCCUCAGGACGCACUAGCUUGCUGGUUUGGGUUUCUAAGGUACUUUUCCUUACCAGCUCCUGAGUUCCUGCAGGAAUGCAGAUCUUUGCAGAGCUGGCGUGGAACACGCUUAGCAAAUGUAUAUACGCAGCUGUGUGAGUUAGGAUUGUGCAAACUCUACUGAACACCUCAUUUCUGCAUCGAUAAUCGUGGAAGCCAAACACAGGGGUCGAAUCUGGGGUCCUACGAUUCUACUUCGGGGCAGAGUUGGGGUGAGGAAUAGAUAGCCGAAUCCGCCGGAGUCAAGGCCCGCGUGGCACAUUAGUGCCCUACGCUGCCUGGGACCAGACGUGGGGACACGAGCAGAAGCCCCUGGAGCUGAGAGGGAGAGGUGCCAGAGCGGGUCCCAGGUCCGUGUACCCCCACAGGAGCUCCCUGCCCCCCCCCCACGGCUGGGCAGGAUGUGGUGGCAGCUGCAGUUGGGUGGGCAGGAUGUGGGGGUGGGGGCAGACGAACGCAGCCCGACAGCAGUUUCUCCCCCCACCCCAGCUCCUGCCUCCACCCCCUCCGGGUCACGUGCUCUCAGCUUGGGCACCGAGGGACUAUUUCCCAUUUUUCGCGGAAGGACAUCUCAAACCCGUCGCCAUGGACUUAAGUUGUAUCACGCCAUUUUCUUGCCCCCCUCUCCAGCCUAGAACAGAAAGUUUGCCCAGUACACAUUUCUGGAAAGCGUGGAUUAACUCGGAGGAGGCCCCUUUAAAUGCAAAUGGUCGCCCUCCUGCUCUGCUCCCCCUCCUCCCCAACCCCCAUUCCAACUUCUCUCCAAGUGCCCAAACUCCACCAGCUGCUAUUGACGUCAAUCGUGCGUCAGCAUCUCCAGCCCAACCAGACAGCACGUGGGGGGAAGAAGGCAAUCUUAAAGGGCCAGUCGCUCAGGGCCUUUUCGAUUACCGGAGAUGGAAAAGCUAAAUGGAAUAUUGGAAACUGUUGGAGCGGGAAGAAAUGCAGGGGAGACUUUCAGACUUUCAGGAUUGCUUAAGGCCGGCGACGUGGCUCAGCGGAUCCGGGUACUUCUUUCUGUGCAAGCCCGAGAAUCACCUCCCCAAAGUUAUCCUCUGACCUUCACAUCAUUUUUCUCCCCCGCACACAUAAUGUAAUGUAUUAAUAAAUCUUUUGUUGUUGUU